rnacentral:rRNA from 1 species
UACGGAGGAUCCGAGCGUUAUCCGGAUUUAUUGGGUUUAAAGGGUGCGUAGGCGGCCUGUUAAGUCAGGGGUGAAAGACGGUAGCUCAACUAUCGCAGUGCCCUUGAAACUGAUGGGCUUGAAUGUACUAGAGGCAGGCGGAAUGUGACAAGUAGCGGUGAAAUGCAUAGAUAUGUCACAGAACACCAAUUGCGAAGGCAGCUUGCUAUGGUAUAAUUGACGCUGAGGCACGAAAGCGUGGGGAUCAAACAGG